rnacentral:rRNA from 1 species
GCUGGCGGCAGGCCUAACACAUGCAAGUCGAACGAGAAGCUUCUUUCGGGAAGUGGAGAGUGGCGCACGGGUGAGUAACGCGUGGGGAUCUGCCCUUUGGUACGGGAUAACGUUUGGAAACGAACGCUAAUACCGUAUAUUGUCUACGGACGAAAGAUUUAUCGCCAAAGGAUGAACCCGCGUAGGAUUAGAUAGUUGGUGGGGUAACGGCCUACCAAGUCGACGAUCUUUAGCUGUUCUGAGAGGAAGAUCAGCCACACUGGAACUGAGACACGGUCCAGACUCCUACGGGAGGCAGCAGUGGGGAAUAUUGGACAAUGGGCGCAAGCCUGAUCCAGCCAUGCCGCGUGAGUGAAGAAGGCCUUAGGGUUGUAAAGCUCUUUCGCUAGGGAAGAUAAUGACGGUACCUAGUAAAGAAGUCCCGGCUAACUCCGUGCCAGCAGCCGCGGUAAUACGGAGGGGACUAGCGUUGUUCGGAAUUACUGGG